GACCAAGGAGUCUAACAUGUGCGCGAGUCAAUGGGUCUUGAUUAUGCCCAAAGGCGCAACGAAAGUGAAAAUGCCGGUCCACUCAGGGCCUGGCGCGGUGUUGGGACUCUCCGUCCUUGGGGCGCGAGAAGCACCAACGACCCGUCCUAUCCGAUUCAUCGGUUGGGCGGAGUCUGAGCGCACACGUUGGGACCCGAAAGAUGGUGAACUAUGCCUGGGCAGGACGAAGUCAGAGGAAACUCUGGUGGAGGUCCGUAGCGGUUCUGACGUGCAAAUCGAUCGUCAGACCUGGGUAUAGGGGCGAAAGGCUAAUCGAACCAUCUAGUAGCUGGUUCCCUCCGAAGUUUCCCUCAGGAUAGCUGGCGCUCGGAGGAUUCAGUCUCAUCCGGUCAAGCGAAUGAUUAGAGGCCUUGGGGCCGAAACGACCUCAACCUAUUCUCAAACUUUAAAUGGGUGAGAAGUUCGGCUUGCGUGGAGAGAAGCCCGGACGUUCUUGGAUGCGAGUGCCAAGUGGGCCACUUUUG
rnacentral:rRNA from 1 species